GAUGUGUGUGUGUGUGUGUGUGUGUGUCUGUGUGUGUGUGUGUGUGUGCGCGCGCAAAAGUGUGACUGUGUGUGAUGUGCUUGUUACUCGUUAGAGCCCUCCUCUGGCAACCUGCUGUGCUUCUGCUGGUACCACAGAAAACGCCCCCCCCCCCCCCCCCCCCCCAAUUAAUCGUGUCCAAAAAGUUUUGUAACAUUAACCUUUUACAGAAACAAACACAUAUGUGUAAGAUAGCUUCCAGAAGCGUCAUUCGCAAGCAAAAUGGCAUUCCUAGUUUUGUUUAUGACUUAAAUUAAGGAGUUGAGAAUCAUGCACAGCUGCAGAGGGGUGUUAGCAUGGCUUCUAUGGCUAGCUGCAUCCAGUGCUUUGACUGACACCACAAUUCCAGAAACCUCAAGUCCUAUUGGCAAUGUCUCCAUGUCUUAAUUUCAGAUUCAUAAUGUAACAGUUCCCCAGUCAAACGGUUUCUGUCUUAUUUCUUCUAUGGUCUUGGCUGAGAAGAGAGUCGCUGUUGGCUGCCACGGAAAUGCCAACAGAUGCACGUAACCCUCCUGUGUCAUUUUCAUAUUGUGACUUUAUGCACUUAUUAAAAGACACAUGAAACGGA